rnacentral:rRNA from 1 species
UUAUCUCUGUAGAGUCUGCAUAUCAAUAAGCGGAGGAAAAGAAACUAACUAGGAUUCCCUUAGUAACGGGCGAGUGAAGCGGGAAGAGCUCAAAUUUGAAAUCUUCAAGGUUUUACCUUGACGAAUUGUAGUUUAAAGAAGUGUUUUCUGUUGGAGUUUUGGUAAAAGUUCUUUGGAAUAGGACAUCAUAGAGGGUGAGAAUCCCGUAUUUGACCAUUACUUCCAGCUUUGUGAUACACUUUCAAAGAGUCGGAUUGUUUGGGAAUGCAGUCCAAAAUGGGUGGUAAAUUUCAUCUAAAGCUAAAUAUUGGCGAGAGACCGAUAGCGAACAAGUACCGUGAGGGAAAGAUGAAAAGAACUUUGAAAAGAGAGUUAAACAGUACGUGAAAUUGUCAAAAGGGAAGCGUUUGACACCAGUGUUGUUUUCUCGAAAAUCAAUUAAAAAAAGUUGGAUUUUGUAUUGUUAAGACCUUAUCAGCUUACUGUACUCUUUUCUUGCUUUUUUUAAUGCACUUUUCGUUUAACAAGUCAACAUCAAUUUCUUUUGUUGUAAAAGAGUCAUUGGAAGGUGGCUUUCUUUUCGGAGAAAGUGUUUAUAGCCUUUACCUCUGCAAUCGGAGAGAUUGAGGACAGCAGCGUAGACUCCUUCGGGGGUUAGAUACACUUGUGCUAAGCUAUAGCCUUGUAUAGACAACUUGUUGACUAUGCUCAGUCAUGUAGCUUACUCGCUUAUGCUAUUUUACCUACGCUUAGGAUGUUGACGAUCAGCUGAGCGCG